rnacentral:lncRNA from 1 species
UUUAAAAGAAUAGCCAACGGAGUCACAAUGUUUUCAGUAGAUGUAUUUCCUUCAGAUAUAACUGGGAGGUAAUUGUAUACAGCGUAAACAAUUUCAAUUGGUGAAUAGAUCUCUUGUUGAAUGGAUCUUGGCCUUGUUUGUAAUUCUAAUGGUUGUGUGAUCCUAUAUGGUACUACAGUUGGCCUUUCGUAUCUAUGGAUUCAACUAUCCAUAACUUGAAAAUAUUUUUUCCAAAUAAUUUAUAUUAACCAUUUACUAGGAGAGUAGGGGGUAGGGGUAAAAGCGAAAUAAAAAUAAAAAUGUGAGGAUAAUAAAUUAGUUAUUCGUUAGUUGCAUCUUUACAAAUAUCUAAUAUGUUGCAAGGAGAAAGCAAAGAGGGUGGGGGUUGUUGGAUUAUGGGGAGUUCUUUUACAAAGUUAUCAUUGUUACAACUAAGUCUUCAUCUAUAUUUCUUUAACAUACAUUUCAUAAAAUAUUGAAGAUUCUAGACAUUUUAAUUUUAAGUCCAUUGGUGGUGUCUUCUCACAUUGUCUCCCGGUUUUCAUAAAUUCUUUUCCAGUUCUUUUUCAAUGGAAAUUGAUCUUAAUUUUUCACUACAGAUUGUUUCACAUUAAAUCUUUUCUUAAAUUAUUUAUUAUUAUCUACAAAGAAAAUUCUACAAUUUUAAUUUAAACUGUUAGUAGGUUAGUAUUUAUAUAUUUUAUCAUUAUCAUGCUUUCUAUCUUUUUGUAUUACAUCAAAUUUAUGUAAUUCCAUGUAACCAAUCAAUUUUAUUAGUAAAAUCUUUUUAGUAAAGAUUUUAAUAAUAGUCUUAUUCACAAAAUUUCUUAAAUUUUCAAUAAUUAACAUACCUGUGAUGACUCAUGGGCCUUGUAGUCCUGUUCCUAGUACUAUUGUGGCAGACGAAGAGGAAAACAUGGGAUUUUUGCCGGUUCAGCAAGAGCCGGAGUCUCUUCACCUGCAGGAUGUUGACGUUUGCCCUCAAGAAUUCAGCCAAACAGGCCUUGGGCAGAACUCCCCCCCGUUUUCCAGGAGGGAAAAUUAUUCCAAAGAUAGGGGAGUCAGGGAGGCUUCUGCGAUUAGCCUCCCUGACUCCCCUAUCUUUAGAAUAAUUUUCCCUCCUGGAAAACGGGGGGGAGUUCUGCCCACGCCUGUUUGGCUGAAUUCUUGAGGGCAAACGUCAACAUCCUGCAGGUGAAGAGACUCCAGCUCUUGCUGAACCGGCGAAAAUCCCAUGUUUUCCUCUUCGUCUGCCACAAUAGUACUAGGAACAGAACUACAAGGCCCAUGAGUCAUCACACAAACCUCCUUUGAAUAAAUCUUGCCAACACACCCUUAAAAUAGUCUUGCUAUAAAUCAGAAUCAGCUUGAAGGUACAUAAUAACAAUGAGCAAAUAUAGGGAACAUGUGGUCCAGAUGUUGAUGGACUGGAAACCCUAUCAUGCCCUACCAUAGGUCAGGCUAAGUAGGGUUUAUAGGAAUUGCAGUCCAAUACUGUUUGGAGAGCUGAGUAUUCUUCACCUUGGUAUAUGUGGAACUUUGAAAGUGUUUUAUUUGUGCAAAGGAAUUCUGGACCAGAGGAUAAAUUGUAUGGUCUUGUCCUGUUUUGUCUUUCAAGAACAGCGUUAAGACACUGUGGUAAGUAAAUGAAAACUGCUUUACUUCAGCAAAACAAAGUACUGUACCCUCAGUGAAAUAAUGCAAAAGAAAGCCAGGAGGUCUUACUUCAGACAAAGAAACAGGCAUAAAUCCAGAUGCGGACUUGGAGCAGGCAGACAGAGAGUGAAGGCAUUAGAGUCAAUUUGUUACCAGCAACAGCUGGCUGCACCUGCUUCUGCUUUUAUAGCCCUGGGUCCCCACACAGCUGCUAGGGCAGUUCCUUAUUGCUCAGCUGCAUUUCUGGCAGCUAAUCUAGCUGAAUGAUGUCUCUGCUCUGUUUCCUUUCGCCUCUCCUGGAAUGAGGGUACUAGUAAAGUCUCCUCCUCAGACUCCAACUCACCCUCAGAUUCAUGAGCACGUUCCUGCUCCUCUUCCUCUUCUGAAGAAGAGGAAUCCCUGACAGGUCUAGACUAUUAUUUGGAUCUCUGACAUUUACAAUAGGUGUGUCAAAAGUGUUAUGGAGUGGAUAGAGAGUGAGAAAGACUGACAGAGAAACUCAUUCAGAGAGAAUAAUGUGUUCAAUCUUUCUAGGCUAAUCUUGUUUGCUACCUAUCUAUUUCUUUGAUGAGGAUGAUAGACUUGGGCAGGAUGUGGUUGAACCCCAACAAAAAGCAUGCUACAUGCAUGUAGUCAAGAUAUGCUAUCUACAGAAAAUGGUUAUUUGAAACAAGGUCCAAUCUUUCCAAUUUAUAUUCACAUAACUUUGGCUAAUUUCUUGGUAUUCACCCGCAUGAGUUCAUUAUUAAUGCUGUGUAACCCUAUAAAGUCCUAAUAAUGCCAAGUCACAUUAUUUACCAAUAAAAUUUGGAAUUGUCCCCAUGGUGCCUAAACACUGCUGUGUGGCAAACUUGGUUUUAUUCAAGAACCUUGCUGUGUUCUGCACAAUCUCUUCUUAUUUCCCCUGUUCGUUUUUUAACGCUAAAAGCGAUGGAUUAUGCAUGGCAAAACACAAUGAUG